rnacentral:other from 1 species
CAUAUCCUACGAUGUGCGUAACUCCUUUUUGUUUUAAACCUUACUGUUUUAUUGGGAUUCUUAAAUUUGUUAGCUGAUGCCAAGCCUAUUUAUAAAUAGGAUCGCAGAAAGCUAACGUGCGGAAACCCACCUGCGUGAGCGGGUUCAAAAACAGCUAGGGGUACGGCAUAGGUGGGAAUCA